rnacentral:lncRNA from 1 species
AUGGGGUCAGCCUGACUAGAUAUCCUGGGAGAUGGUGGACGGACCGGGUCCGUAGGGAACCCUACCGGGAUUGUGGUCUCACAUACCGGACGGGGUAUGGAGAUCUUAUGGUUUUGGCGCCCAUACCGGACGGGGUAUGGGGACAGCCCGUUUUCACCCUCAUACCGGACGGGGUAUUGAGGUUUAUGGUUUUGGCGCUCAUACCGGACGGGGUAUGGGGACGGCCCUGGAAACUGAUUAUGAAUGUUAAAGGUUAACGGGUAGCGGGACCCCUAGGGACCCCUAUGGAUACUAGUAGGCUGGUAAAUGAGAAAAGGAUAUGUUGUAUAAUGAUUGAAUUACAAAAGGCGUGAUAAGUGCUAUGU